GUGUCUGUGUGUGAGUGUGUGUGUGUCUGUGUGUGUGUCAGUGAGUGUGUGUCUGUGAAUGUAUGUGUGUGUGUGUCAGUGAGUGUAUGUGUGUGUCUGUGUGAGUGUGUGUCUGUGAAUGUGUGUGUCUGUGAGUGUAUGUGUGUGUGUGUCUGAAUGUGUCUGUGAGUGUAUGUGUGUGUGUGUCUGAAUGUGUCUGUGAGUGUGUGUGUGUAUGCAU